AACGUUUGGCUCACCAAGAGAAAACGACACGGGUGACGCGCCUCUCAGCUAACUUGACAUGAAUCACACCUAAACCAUUUUGUCGUCGUCGUUCCAGCUGCAGUCCAGAGUUGGAACCCAAGCGCACGCAGCACCGUCGUCGAACUCUUCCCUUUUCGGCGGCAUUGGAGAUGGCGGCGAAUCUAGAGGACGUGCCGUCUCUGGAUCUGAUGCACGAACUGCUCCGUCGGAUGAAGUGCAGCUCCAAGCCCGACAAGCACCUCAUCCUCAUCGGCCCACCUGGCUCUGGAAAGGGUACUCAGUCUCCCCUUAUUAAGGAUGAAUAUUGCCUGUGCCAUUUAGCCACUGGUGAUAUGUUGAGGGCUGCUGUGGCAGCCAAGACAACUCUAGGUAUCAAAGCUAAAGAAGCUAUGGAUAAGGGAGAGCUUGUUUCAGAUAACUUGGUUGUGGGGAUUAUUGAUGAAGCUAUGAAGAAACCGUCAUGCCAGAAAGGUUUCAUUCUUGAUGGCUUCCCUAGAACUGUCACUCAAGCACAGAAGCUUGAUGAGAUGUUGGCAAAGCAAGGUGCUAAUGUUGACAAGGUCCUAAACUUUGCAAUUGAUGAUGCUAUAUUGGAAGAACGGAUUACUGGCCGUUGGAUCCACCCACCCAGUGGUAGGACUUACCAUACAAAAUUUGCACCUCCAAAGUCUCCAGGAGUUGAUGAUGUUGUAUUGGUGGGAAAUUGGGGGUCGGGGCGUGGUGGUUCGUCGCCUGGAAGAUGGUCCAGGCGCCGUGGCUACCCGAGAGGAGAGGCAGGUAACUGGAGAGCCAUUGAUUCAAAGGAGGGAUGACACUGCCGAGGUUUUGAAGUCAAGGCUUGAAGCCUUCCACAAACAAACUGAGCCUGUGAUUGAUUAUUACUCUAAGAAGGGCUUGGUGGUAAAUCUGCCUGCGGAGAAACCACCAAAGGAAGUGACUGCUGAGGUGCUGAAAGCCCUCUCAUGAUGAAAUGCCCCUUUUUCUGAGUUUAUUCAGGUUAAGCAUGAUAUGUACCGAAAUCCCUUUGUCUGGGUUUCUUCACACCAGCAUCAUGCAGUUUCCUUUUUGUGCGAUUACACCAUUUUAUCAUAGCUUUGACAAGCUCGGUAACUGUCUGAAUAAUCUGUUUUGAAUGAGAGAAGUUGUUUUUCAGUACCAAUACUGAGAUGAUUACAUCAAUUCACGUUUGGGAAAUUUUCCUUA